GAUCCUGGCUCGGGAUGAACGCUAGCUACAGGCUUAACACAUGCAAGUCGAGGGGCAGCAUGUUGGUUGCUUGCAACCAAUGAUGGCGACCGGCGCACGGGUGAGUAACGCGUAUCCAACCUUCCGCAUACUCGGGAAUAGCCUUUCGAAAGAAAGAUUAAUGCCCGACUGGUUUCCCGUAACUCCGCAUGAGAACGGGAAGUAAAGAAUUCAUCGGUAUGCGAUGGGGAGUGCGUCCCACUUAG
rnacentral:rRNA from 1 species